rnacentral:rRNA from 1 species
UACGAAGGGGGCUAGCGUUGUUCGGAAUCACUGGGCGUAAAGGGCGCGUAGGCGGCCGAUCAAGUCGGGGGUGAAAGCCUGUGGCUCAACCACAGAAUUGCCUUCGAUACUGUUUGGCUUGAGACCGGAAGAGGUUAGUGGAACUGCGAGUGUAGAGGUGAAAUUCGUAGAUAUUGGGAAGAACACCGGUGGCGAAGGCGGCGACCUGGUCCUUGACUGACGCUGAGGCGCGAAAGCGUGGGGAGCAAACAGG